rnacentral:rRNA from 1 species
CCUACGGGAGGCAGCAGUGAGGAAUAUUGGUCAAUGGGCGGAAGCCUGAACCAGCCGAGUAGCGUGCAGGAUGACGGCCCUACGGGUUGUAAACUGCUUUUAUACGGGAAUAACGCGCCGUACGUGUAGGGCUUUGCAUGUACCGGAUGAAUAAGGACCGGCUAAGUCCGUGCCAGCAGCCGCGGUAAUACGGAAGGUCCGGGCGUUAUCCGGAUUUAUUGGGUUUACAGGGAGCGUAGGCCGCAUGUCAAGCGUGCUGGGAAAUGUCCGGGCUCAACCCGGGCCUUGCAGCGCGAACUGGCGUGCUUGCUUCCGCGGCCGGCAGGCGGACUUCGUCGUGUAGCGGU